rnacentral:lncRNA from 1 species
AAAUGGGCAAGUUCAUGAAACCCAGGAAAGUGGUGCUAGUCCUAGCUGGACAAUACUCUGGAUGCAAAACCGUAUCAUGAAGAACACUGAUUGAUGAUGGCACCUCAGACCGCCCUUACAGCCAUGCCCUAGUGGCUAGAAUUGACUGCUAUCCCCCAAAAGAGACAGCUGCCACAGGCUAGAAGAAAAUUGCCAAGCAAUCCAAGAUAAAGUCCUCUGUGAAAGUUUAUAACUAUAACCACCUCAUGCCCACAAGGGAGUCUGGAUAUCCCCUUGGGCAAAACUGUUGUCAACAAGGAUGCAUUCAGAGACCCAGCUUUGAAACACAAGGCCAGGCAGGAAGCCAAUGUCAAGUGUGAGGAGUGAUACAAGACAGGGAAGUGCAAGUGGGUUUUCCAGAGGCUUCACUUUUAG